GACAUCUGGAGGGAACAGCAUCAGUCAUGAACCAGGAUAGAAAAAUCCAUGCUGCUUAUUUGAACAGAAGAUGUGUCAUCAGACGAUGGGAGUAUCUACAAAGAAGCCAGUCAGGAAACAAGCAACCCAGAGGCUUUUAAACCCAGGAAGCCGCUACCCUCCUGGGCUAGAGAAGCAGAGGCAGUGCUGGGGGCAGAGCCCGGGCACCCUGGAAGCAGCAGCAACCACGGAGGGCCUGAGGGAGGCAGCCAGGAUGACUAGGGGGAUGGAUGCUGCUGUGUCCCCCACAGAAGGGAGGUGUGGCACUGGGACUCAGGCUUCCCUUUCUGCUCUCAGCAGCGCCUCACAGUGGCCAAGCCCAGCUGGAAGGCAGCAGGCAGAGAAGGCAGUACCCAGGACUGAAGAGGCUGCCCUCCUGGGCUCUACAGCAGAGCAGGAGAGGGAGGAGGAGGGGCACUGAGCAGACAGGAGUGUCAGUCAAUCAGGCUGACCCUGGCCCUGCCUCCUCAAUGGGAUAUCAAUGAAAUGCCGCCUUCUCCGGUAGUUGAGGCUGAUGGGGCAGGAAUGCUGAGUUAUGUAAAGUGUCACAGUGUUCACUGAGGUGGAUAACAUGAAAACUUAUUUGUUCCUGGGAAAAAUUCUUAAAUCUCAUUAAGGCUUCUUAAGCAUUCACAAAACUGAAGCCACCUUUCCCAGAGGUUAGGAUUAACAAGUGGGACUAGACGGGCUACCUGAAAUUCAGUUCCAGAAAUAUUUACUGAGUGUCUUUUACGUGCAACUGUUCCUAGUGUUUGUUUGUUUGUUUGUUUGUUAAGUCAGGCAUGUAAAGAAUAAGUCCAAGAGUUCCACAUUCAAUUUUGUGAGGCUAUAUCUUCACAUGUUUCCCUGGGCUGGGGUUAAAACAACAGCUUUCCUUGAAACUAGGACAUGGGAGUGAUGGUAUUAGGGCACUUGCAUCAUGAUGAAAGAAUACCUGAGACUGGGUAAUUGAUAAAGAAAAAGGGUUCAAUUGGCCCAUGGUCUGCAGGCUGGACAUGAAGUAUGGUGCUGGCAUCUGCUUCUGGGGAGGGCCACAGGUAGCUUACAGUGAUAGCAGAAGGUAAGUUGGGAGCCCCUGUCUCACAUCACAAGAAUGGGAGCAAGAGAGAGCAAGCGGGGACAAUGCCACACACUUUACACAACCAGAUCUCCCAGAAACUCACAGCAAGAGCUAACUCAUCACAAGGGGAUGGCGCUGAACCAUUAAUGAGGGAUCCCAUCCAUGAUCCAAUCACCUCCCACCAGGCCCUGCCUCCAGCACUGGGGAUUACAUUUCUGCAUGGGAUUUGGAAUGCACAAAUAUCCAAAACAUAUCAGUAAUUAUUGCUGAAUUUUGAAGCCCCUGGUCCCAGGGGUAAACACCUUCCCAAACUGGCCUAGAAGACAAAGGAAAGAUUUCCUAUCUCUCUGGAGCAUGGAUUACACCAGGGAUAAACAUCAGGUGUUUGAGUGCCAACGGCUCUGCCAUUUGUAGGUUGUAACACAUGAUCAGAAGAACAUAACAGAUUGAAUAGUUUGCUAAGGUUGCAGAGUUUGGCCUGAGCUAGGAGUGUGCAUUCUUCACUAAGGUCUUCCUCAGAAUCCAUGCCAAGGGACCUGUGCUUGCUGACGGGGGAUAAGCCACAGCUGAAGACACUCCAACUUCAGAGAACACAGUUGCCCUUUAAUACUGAAAGCUUACUGCCUUCAGCACCCCGAGUUUUCUCCCAACCUUGGAUGCUCUACAUGCGUGAACUGCAGGAAAAGAGGAGACACCCAGCAUCCAAGAGAGCCGUCGGGAGUAACGGCCAUUAGGAAGAAUUGUUGGAG
ensembl:lncRNA